AACUCUUAUGAAGAGACUGAUUUAAAUUCCAAACCGGCCAAAAAAUUGCAGAAUCAUUAUGUCAUGAAUGAUCCAUAAAGAUAUAACCUCUGAAAAAGUAAAGGCCUACCCUUUAACAAAGUGAAUUACUUUACUAAUGGGAAUCAGCAAUCAAAAAGUUCGAGAAAAUUCGAACCAGUAGAAUGAUUUGAGGAAUCAAAAUCUAUGAAAUUCCUGCAUAUUUCUCUUUAUUGAAAAAGUUUUUUAAAAAGAGUAUUAAAGUAUAACCAGUUUUAUUCCAAAAUAAUUUGGUUUCUGCCAACUGCUUAAUGAUUCCAUGUUGCAUCAAUUUAUGUUAAGGUUGCUGGAGAUGACUUUGCUAGAGUGAGAUUUUCGGAUCCUCAAAAGGAGAAUCCAAGAAAGCUACCGAAACAAGCCCACCAUUUCAACAAAUGGAAUCCUUCAUGGGAGUUCUCAUCAUAUUGUUUAGGCAACAAGGUGCAGGACUGGUUGCAGAAGCAGUUUCCAGGGCCAAUAAAAGACGACGAUGAUCAGAGGCAGAGUGAAUUGGCGGUGGUGGUUUCAGCUGCAGCAUAUUCCAUUCGAUCUCUGGGAGAAGCCAAAAUAAGAAAAAAAAUGUGAGAGAGGAGUUUGAAUUGCCAAUGACAAUGUCUAGGAAUUUUUGUUUUCCAGGUGAAACUUCUGCUGGAAAUUUGGCUGAGGCGGAACGUAGGAGACAAGAAAGUGCAAUACCGAUCAGCAGACCGAGUCAUUCACCCACUGUAAGAACCAUGAGCUAUGGGGAGAGAAACCGGAAGCAGCAGGCAAGACACUAGAAUGUGGAGACGAGCUGAUUCUUGGGAGAAACAAAUGGCAAAGAUCAAGACAGGGUAUGAGAAAUGGGAUCUUCAAUUCUUGUUUGGGAGAAUGAGAAGAAGAUGCAAGCUGAGCUCAAAAUGGAAAGAAAAAUGAGCCAAUUGGAGCAUAAAAGGGCUUUGAACCAACUGCACUACCAGACACAAAUAGCAAGAAUUGAGCGUAUUGCCAGAGAAGCAAAAGCACUAGUAGAAGAAGAAAGAAGAAACAAGGAGUAUAAGAUAAAACAAGAGGCCAAAAUGAUUAGAUCAAAGGGAAAGUUUCCUGUCAGGUGUUUCUACUGUUAAAUGGGCAGGAAACAGUGACUGAUAUGUGUGUGUGUGUAUGUGUGUAUAUAUAUAUAUAUGCAAAUUUCCACAAUGAGGGAAAGGAUUGUAUCUCUCAUACGUGCAAUUCAAUUGUUAUUUCCACAAUGUGACAAUUCAAUUAUAAUUAAAAUUGUCAGAAAAUGUGGAUACAAAUUUGUUGAUUUAAUGUAUAUUAUUUUGAUAUGGCCUGUUGACAAAUCUGUAAAUCUGCUGAUGUGUGAAGCUGUUAUGUUGUUAG